ensembl:lncRNA
UUGAAGACUGGAAGUGAAAAACUCCUUAUAUUCAGGAGUGCUGAAUUAUUAGGCAUGUUUUCUUGUCAUGCAUUGGUCAUAGAGCUCAUUGUAGCGGUGCCUCAGGUGUUGAAAUAGAUUUUUUAUACAUUAUACAGGUUCACACGUCCUCCGUCUGCAGUGCGUAUACAGUAUGUGUAUGCAGUUCAGAAGCAGCAGCGAGAGCGCGUUACUGUAACGCGAAAGAACAUUAAAAUAAUGCGCGAGCGCGAAUCUAUCCGCUCGCACGCAAAUUUCCUUUGCUUUGUCACAAAACCAGAC